UACGGAGGGUGCAAGCGUUAUCCGGAUUCACUGGGUUUAAAGGGUGCGUAGGCGGGCAGGUAAGUCCGUGGUGAAAUCUCUGAGCUUAACUCAGAAACUGCCAUGGAUACUAUUUGUCUUGAAUAUUGUGGAGGUAAGCGGAAUAUGUCAUGUAGCGAUGAAAUGCUUAGAUAUGACAUAGAACACCCAUUGCGAAGGCAGCUUACUACACAAUGAUUGACGCUGAGGCACGAAAGCGUGGGGAUCAAACAGG
rnacentral:rRNA from 1 species